GACGAACGCUGGUGGCGUGCUUAACACAUGCAAGUCGAACGGAAAGGCCCUGCUUUUGUGGGGUGCUCGAGUGGCGAACGGGCGAGUAACACGUGAGUAACCUGCCCUUGACUUUGGGAUAACUUCAGGAAACUGGGGCUAAUACCGGAUAGGAGCUCCUGCUGCAUGGUGGGGGUUGGAAAGUUUCGGCGGUUGGGGAUGGACUCGCGGCUUAUCAGCUUGUUGGUGGGGUAGUGGCUUACCAAGGCUUUGACGGGUAGCCGGCCUGAGAGGGUGACCGGCCACAUUGGGACUGAGAUACGGCCCAGACUCCUACGGGAGGCAGCAGUGGGGAAUAUUGCACAAUGGGCGGAAGCCUGAUGCAGCAACGCCGCGUGCGGGAUGACGGCCUUCGGGUUGUAAACCGCUUUCGCCUGUGACGAAGCGUGAGUGACGGUAAUGGGUAAAGAAGCACCGGCUAACUACGUG
rnacentral:rRNA from 1 species